GAAUGGUAAUAGAGUUUCCUUCGUUUGCGUGACCGAAUUCUUGUAAAAUGAUAAGUGUUUCAGUCUCCCUUGUUUUCUCUCAAGAAUAGGUAGUCUGCUUCUUACGAAAAACAGAGGCGUCUAUGAGCACGUGUUUUCCAUGAGGGGGCAGGUAGUAGCUGGCAGUUUUUGUCGUGUGCGUCAUCAAAACAAAAGCAGCGGUAGCACAAAGCCCUUGGCUCGUACCAUUGUUCUCGCUGUUCUUCUGCUCGUUACAUACGGGUAGUGCAUGGGCAGUGAACUAAGCAUCGAGGGACUUUCUGUGUCCCAUUUCUCUUGCUGCUUCCCUUCGUUCAAACUUCCUUAAUGCCAUAAGCAAAGCAGGUUAGUUAUGCGGGGGCAGCGAAACCAUCGUGGCUGACGGUUUUUUGUACAUUUCAUCAGGACACAAGCGGCGUUGGCGUCAAGCCUCGAGGGACUUUAUAAUUUUUUUCUCCAUUCCUCUCGCUGCUACGCUACUCGGACUCCACAUAGUACCACUCACAGAGCAGGUUAAGCGGGGGACAGUAUGGCCUUCAUGGCUGGCGGUUUUGUGUGUGUUUUAUCGAAAACACGAGCGAUGGCGGCGGGCAGGUUGAAGGGAUCCUCUCUUUUUCUCGCAGCUCUCCAUCUCAGAGUGACGCUAACAGCAAAGAAUGUUAUGCGGGGGCAGUGUAACCAUCGUAACUGCUCCGCAGCAUGUUCAGACCUUCCACAAAACUACCAGCAAAUCAGGAUAAAAGUAUCUCGAGAGAGCUCAUAGUUUGCUGUCAAAAGGCUUAUAAUUUCAUGGUUCACAGUGCAAAAGGGGCAGUUUUACCGUGAACCGUCAUAAAAGCAUGCGAAUUAUCAACUAUGGAACGGUAGUUUCAUUAAAGCACAAGCAGCCCAAGAUCCAGCUGUAAGAUUAUCAUCUUGCGAAAUAAGAGCUAUGGCAAAAUUAUAAAAGUUUUUAUGGGAAUAUUUACUACAUAAGGGCUUCACUCAUGUAGUAAACCUUGAAAUGGAUAACUCGCUAAAAUGGGUUCCUUUCAACACAGUAAGCGGUCAGAUAACAAGCACUACACUGUGAAAAUUAGGUGAAGUAUUUUUAUUGAGAAUUUGACUGUAUUUUUUUAUUCCCAAAAACGGACGUAAAUAUUCCCAUACAAACUCUUAUAAUUUCAAGAUGACUCUUAUUUCGCAAGAUGAUCAUCUCCCAGCUGGAGCAUGGACCGCCUGUGAUUGAAGGCGCUGGUAGUCACAGGCAGUUCAUGAUCGCGAAGAAAAGAAAAUAUCGUUAACUGACAGAGCUACUCUCCCGUUGAUACCCUUGGUUAACCGUACGCUGAGUAGUAGAAUCACAGCAAGUGAUAUGAAGGUCCGGAGGCGAAACACUAAACAAUGGCAUAGGUGCAGGCGCUGUUGUUUUAACACCCAUCUUCUUACGUGCGCUCAACUCGCCCUUCGCGCCUCCCCCCUUCGUUUGCCUCCGUAAAAAAAAGGCAAAAAGCGCUGUUGUGCUUAUUAUGUGUACGCUUAUUCCUGUGAGUUUCAAGGAUGCUACAUAUGAGAAACUGUUUUGCUUACUUGAAACAAAACUGUAUAGUAUAAACAAGCGAUAUCGAUUGCUGUGAUGUAAGCAUAUCACAUCAUUAUCAUGAGAAGUGACAAGUGUGAGUGGUCUUGCACUGAAAAGAUUAGUAGAAAAUGCACGAAAGAUUUAUAAAGAUUUAUAUUAAUUAUCAAUUACUUAAUCGACGCGCUUGCUUCCUUAGGGGAAAAAGCUUGAUAUGAAUACAGAAUCUUUUUCUGACAUUUGUACAACCACCAGCCAUAAACACAGAGUUACAUUACCUCUAAGUCAGAAGGCUGCCAAGCUGACAAACUGAGUGAUUGCCUUGAUUAAUUUGAAAUCCAAGUGGUUUCAUUUCUUAUACUCCCAAAAUUAAAGAAACUGGUGACAACUGUCAGUCAGCUGUUAAAAAUAUUGGGACCUGGUAGAGGCGAAGGUUACCAAGAAGACAACUAAAAAAAAUAGCAUGGACUUGACAGAUACGUCUUUAUUUUUCUUCUCUUAGUAUUCAAAGCGACGGAAAGGGGAAAAACGGAACUGGAAAAAGAAUGACCAGCGGUUACCAAAAAAAAAAGGAAUCCGAACAACCCUUACUUCAGAGUAAAUUUCAGCCUACUUGUAGCCGUACCCCCUUCGCAAGGAGUUUCUCCAUGGGGGAGGGGGGACGGCUUCAUGCAGGUUUAAAGUAAAAUUUAAAGGAGAAUAACGCUGACCACAGGUUCCCCAUCGGGUCUCCGAACUGCGACAACGCUUACUAUUGCAGCUUAGUUUUCUCCCAAGGCUACUGAGUACAUAAACUUGAAAACGCCAAGCUAAAUAGAUUAAACAGAUAAAUGUUCUUCGA
rnacentral:lncRNA from 1 species